rnacentral:rRNA from 1 species
AUUGAACGCUGGCGGCAGGCUUAACACAUGCAAGUCGAGCGGAGUGAUGGUGCUUGCACUAUCACUUAGCGGCGGACGGGUGAGUAAUGCUUAGGAAUCUGCCAUUUAGUGGGGGACAACAUUCCGAAAGGAAUGCUAAUACCGCAUACGUCCUACGGGAGAAAGCAGGGGAUCUUCGGACCUUGCGCUAAAUGAUGAGCCUAAGUCGGAUUAGCUAGUUGGUGGGGUAAAGGCCUACCAAGGCGACGAUCUGUAGCGGGUCUGAGAGGAUGUACCGCCACACUGGGACCGAGACACGGCCCAGACUCCUACGGGAGGCAGCAGUGGGGAAUAUUGGACAAUGGGCGGAAGCCUGAUCCAGCCAUGCCGCGUGUGUGAAGAAGGCCUUUUGGUUGUAAAGCACUUUAAGCGAGGAGGAGGCUCUCCUAGUUAAUACCUAGGAAGAGUGGACGUUACUCGCAGAAUAAGCACCGGCUAACUCUGUGCCAGCAGCCGCCGUAACAC